rnacentral:rRNA from 1 species
GACGAACGCUGGCGGCGUGCCUAAUACAUGCAAGUAGAACGCUGAAGAGAGGAGCUUGCUCUUCUUGGAUGAGUUGCGAACGGGUGAGUAACGCGUAGGUAACCUGCCUUGUAGCGGGGGAUAACUAUUGGAAACGAUAGCUAAUACCGCAUAACAAUGGAUGACACAUGUCAUUUAUUUGAAAGGGGCAAUUGCUCCACUACAAGAUGGACCUGCGUUGUAUUAGCUAGUAGGUAAGGUAAUGGCUCACCUAGGCGACGAUACAUAGCCGACCUGAGAGGGUGAUCGGCCACACUGGGACUGAGACACGGCCCAGACUCCUACGGGAGGCAGCAGUAGGGAAUCUUCGGCAAUGGGGGCAACCCUGACCGAGCAACGCCGCGUGAGUGAAGAAGGUUUUCGGAUCGUAAAGCUCUGUUGUAAGUCAAGAACGGGUGUGAGAGUGGAAAGUUCACACUGUGACGGUAGCUUACCAGAAAGGGACGGCUAACUACGUG